UGGGCAGGGACUGCGCCCCGCGGAUUGCAGUCUGGACGCCUCUUUGGCAGCACCGAUGUUAUCCAAGAGAAAAAAGGCUUGGCAUGCUGCGACCAGGUCACUUCCGAGGGGCCACCUUUGGAAACUGCAAGGCUGAAAUGGCGCAUGGGGAUGAAAAGGUGCACAUAACCCUGAUAAUCAGGAAAAGCAAAUUCAAACACUACACUCUCCUAAAGUGACAGAGGACACAGAGUGACAGUUUCUUUCACAGAGAGCAUUCUGUCCUACCAUGGACUGCCAACAAUCCGCUUUUAAAGAAGCAGACUUGCUAAAAAGAAGCAAUCAGUGUUCUGAAUACAAGAGGCCCCUUGCACUCAGUUGACACAGAAGCGUAUGAAAAUGUGAGCUCCACCUAAGCUCUCUGAGCUCAUCUGCCCCAGCCACACACCUCGUCACUGUCCCCGACCGCUCCAGGCAGGUUCCACCCCAGGGCCUUUGCACUGGCCGUUCCUUCUUGCUGGAGUGUGCUCCCCUCAAACACCUGUGCGGCUCUUUCCCUUAACGUCCGCAGGUCUUGGCUCUAAUGUCACUAUCUUAGGGAAGGUCUGCUAUCUCCCCAC